ACGUACACUCCUACGGGAGGCAGCAGUGGGGAAUAUUGCACAAUGGGCGCAAGCCUGAUGCAGCCAUGCCGCGUGUAUGAAGAAGGCCUUCGGGUUGUAAAGUACUUUCAGCGGGGAGGAAGGCAAUACGGUUAAUAACCGUGUUGAUUGACGUUACCCGCAGAAGAAGCACCGGCUAACUCCGUGCCAGCAGCCGCGGUAAUACGGAGGGUGCAAGCGUUAAUCGGAAUUACUGGGCGUAAAGCGCACGCAGGCGGUCUGUCAAGUCGGAUGUGAAAGCCCCGGGCUCAACCUGGGAACUGCAUUCGAAACUGGCAGGCUUGAGUCUUGUAGAUGGGGGUAGAAUUCCAGGUGUAGCGGUGAAAUGCGUAGAGAUCUGGAAGAAUACCGGUGGCGAAGGCGGCCCCCUGGACAAAGACUGACGCUCAGGUGCGAAAGCGUGGGGAGCAAACAGGAUUAGAAACCCUAGUAGUCCCAUGA
rnacentral:rRNA from 1 species